GGGUCAGUAGGUUGGUCGUGCCACCGGUACGUACUGGUCUCACUGAUUCCUCCUUCCUGAAGAACCGUAAUGCCAUUAAUUUGGUGUUGCGGGGAAACAGGACUGUUACUUUGAAAAAAUUAGGGUGCUUAAAGCAAGCUAACGCUUGAAUACAUUAGCAUGGAAUAAUGAAAUAGGACGAUCGAUCCUAUUUUGUUGGUUUCUAGGAUUGACGUA
rnacentral:rRNA from 1 species